UCCUCGCUCAAACAAUCGCAAUCAAAGCUUCCACACCGAAAGGGCGCUCUGGCUCUCUUUCUGCUUCUUCUCGCUUUGGGAGAAAGUCCCCGGACACGCCAUGGGUCUUCUCGUGGUAUGCGGAAACGCGCCGCCAUAGAUGCAAGCACACCUGCGGCUUACACGCCUGUCCCUUCCGUUUCGCUGCCUGGACAUGGUCCCUGUCGCCAUUUGCACUCUUCAUGUGCGCUGUUGGUCUUGUUGCUGGUCUCUUGCUCGGUCGCCUCGCCUGCAAAGGGGAUGAGGAUAUGAGUCCGCGGCUGGGCAACGGGGCUGGCUAAGGGGUCCUUCUGGCGUCGUGGAGAGGAGGUGAUGGGUUCGUCUUGGUAAUCUCGCCGUCUUUGGGCUGCGGGAGUCACAGGAAGGGCAUCCGGCAUCUUCUUCGUCGAGGUCGAAAGAUAUGCGAUUGCCUUCUUUUGAAAGAAAGAGGUAACUCGAUGGGGCUUAUUCUUGAUGCGAGG
rnacentral:RNase_MRP_RNA from 2 species